CCUACGGGAGGCAGCAGUGGGGAAUAUUGCACAAUGGGGGAAACCCUGAUGCAGCGACGCCGCGUGUGGGAAGACGGUCCUCUGGAUUGUAAACCACUGUCCCCAGGGACGAAGAUGACGGUACCUGGGGAGUAAGCUCCGGCUAACUACGUGCCAGCAGCCGCGGUACUACGUAGGGAGCGAGCGUUGUCCGGAAUUACUGGGUGUAAAGGGAGCGUAGGCGGGACAGCAAGUUGGGGGUCAAAUCUACCGGCUCAACCGGGAGCCGCACUUAAAACUGCAGUUCUUGAGUGAAGUAGAGGCAGGCGGAAUGCCUAGUGUAGCGGUGAAAUGCGUAGAUAUUAGGAGGAACACCAGUGGCGAAGGCGGCCUGCCGGGCUUUUACUGACGCUGAGGCUCGAAAGUGUGGGGAGCAAACAGGAUUAGAUACCCGAGUAGUC
rnacentral:rRNA from 1 species